rnacentral:tRNA from 1 species
GAAGGUAUAGCUCAGUGGUAGAGCGCAUGCUUAGCAUGCACAGGGUCCUGGGUUCAAUCCCCAGUACCUCCU